rnacentral:rRNA from 1 species
GAUGAACGCUAGCUACAGGCUUAACACAUGCAAGUCGCGGGGCAGCAUGAAUUUAGCUUGCUAAAUUUGAUGGCGACCGGCGCACGGGUGAGCAACGCGUAUCCAAACCUUCCCCUGUCCACGGGAUAGCCCGUCGAAAGGCGGAUUAAUACCGUAUGAGGUCACACGAUGGCAUCAGACUGUGACGAAAGGUUUGGCGGACAGGGAUGGGGAUGCGUCCGAUUAGGUAGUCGGCGGGGUAACGGCCCACCGAGCCGACGAUCGGUAGGGGUUCUGAGAGGAAGGUCCCCCACAUUGGAACUGAGACACGGUCCAAAACUCCUACGGGGAGGCAGCAGUUGAGGAAUAUUGGUCAAAUGGACGUAAGUCUGAACCAGCCAAGUAGCGUGCAGGAUGACGGCCCUAUGGGUUGUAAAACUGCUUUUAUGCGGGGAUAAAAGUGAGGGACCGCGUCCCCUUUUUUUGCAGGUACCGCAUGAAUAAGGACCGGCUAAUUCCGUG